GCAGUCGUGGCCUAGUGGAUUGGGUGAUUGACUGGAGAUCAAAAGGUUGCUGGUUCGAUCUCCAGCUCCACUGGG
rnacentral:tRNA from 1 species